rnacentral:rRNA from 1 species
GAAUACAACGCUGGCGGCGUGCCUCAGACAUGCAAGUCGAACGAGAAAGUUUCCUUCGGGAGACGAGUACAGUGGCGUCCGGGUGAGUAACACGUGGGUAAUUUACCUUUGGGUGGGGAAUAGCAGCCGGAAACGGCUAUUAAUACCGCAUAAUGCAGCGGCUCGACAUCGAGACAGUUGUUAAAGCGGGGAUCUGACAAGGACCUCGCGCCUAAAGAGAAGCCUGCGCCAGAUUAGCUAGUUGGUAGGGUAAUGGCCUACCAAGGCUGUGAUCUGUAGCCGGCCUGAGA